rnacentral:snoRNA from 1 species
UAAUGACAUUUUCUGAAAUCACUGUACUGCUUUGAUGAAAGUACAUUGGAACCCUUUUCCAUCUGGCAAAAAGAGGGAGACAAA